CAUGCAGGUACCUUAGGUACCGUAGAGGUGCACUAAGACAGUAACUCCCGAAAUUCCCACGAGAACGGGAAUUAGCGGGAAAAUCCUUUUGUAUGAAAAAUCUAAACCACUCAAGUUAGACGUUUGAAAUUUGACAUGCAGAUACCUUAAGUACCGUAGAGGUGCACUAAGGAAGGAAUUCCCGAAAUUCCCACGGGAACGGGAAUUAGCGGGAAAAUACUUUUGUAUGAAAAAUCUAAACCACUUAAGU